CCUACGGGAGACAGCAGUGAGGAAUAUUGGUCAAUGGGCGCGAGCCUGAACCAGCCAAGUCGCGUGAGGGAAGACGGUCCUAUGGAUUGUAAACCUCUUUUGUCGGGGAGCAAAAGACGCCACGCGUGGCGUUCCGAGAGUACCCGAAGAAAAAGCAUCGGCUAACUCCGGGCCAGCAGCCGCGGUAAUACAGAGGAUGCGACCGUUAUCCGGAUUUAUUGGGUUAAAAGGGUGCGCAGGCGGAAGAUCAAGUCAGCGGUAAAAUUGAGAGGCUCAACCUCUUCGAGCCGUUGAAACUGGUUUUCUUGAGUGAGGGAGAGGUAUGCGGAAUGCGUGGUGUAGCGGUGAAAUGCAUAGAUAUCACGCAGAACUCCGAUUGCGAAGGCAGCAUACCGGCGCUCAACUGACGCUCAUGCACGAAAGUGUGGGUAGCGAACAGGAUUAGAUACCCCUGUAGUC
rnacentral:rRNA from 1 species